AUUGAACGCUAGCGGGAUGCUUUACACAUGCAAGUCGAACGAGUGGCGGACGGGUGAGUAAUAUAUCGGAAAGUGCCCAGUAGAGGGGGAUAACUACUCGAAACGGUGGCUAAUACCGCAUACUAUUGGAGAGGCCGAUAUGGGAUUAGCUAGUUGGUGGGGUAAAGGCUCACCAAGGCAACGAUCCGUAGCUGGUUUGAGAGGAUGAUCAGCCACACUGGGACUGAGACACGGCCCAGACUCCUACGGGAGGCAGCAGUGGGGAAUAUUGCACAAUGGGCGCAAGCCUGAUGCAGCCAUGCCGCGUGUAUGAAGAAGGCCUUAGGGUUGUAAAGUACUUUCAGUAGGGAGGCGUUACCGGCAGAAGAAGCACCGGCUAACUCCGUGCCAGCAGCCGCGGUAAUUC
rnacentral:rRNA from 1 species